AAGACUAUAGACCUGCGGAGUACCUGCGGAAGGAUCAUUACCGAGUGUUUUUAGAGGUCUGCCUCUAAACUCUCCACCCUUGAGUGACUGUCUAGCCAUCUGGCUUGUAACUGUAUGUUUUAUGCUUCGGCAGAUACGCUUCCGGUUUGUCCGGUUGAGGCUGCCGACAGUUGAACAAACAAACUCUUAAAAUUUAAACCUGUCCGAGUUAUUUUUGAAUAAUUAAAACUUUCAACAACG
rnacentral:misc_RNA from 1 species